AUGAAAGUCACAUACAAACCCUUUAGAGGGACAUUGAGAGAGAUUGGACAAGCUUAUAUGGAUUCUCUUGCCCCUAGAGAUGGAGAUCAAGAUAACCCAGAAAAGGUUCCCGACUUUGUUGAAACUAUGAUUUAUACCCCUUCUGAAGCUGUGGUCAUGACAGGUAGAUAUGCUUCCAAAGAAGAGGCUAAAAAAAGGGGAAAUGUGAUAAAUCAGAUUGGUUGGUGGUUCAAACCAUGGUUCUACCAGCAUGCAUCAACAGCG
rnacentral:misc_RNA from 1 species